ACCCAGAAGUUGCCAUACUGCCCUGGAUGGGACGCAAGCUCUGAAGCAGUGACUAAUUUGGAGAGGCUGGCCCACAGCAGAAGAUGCAGGGCCGGAAACCAAGGAAGGCAAGGGUCCCUGGAGACAGACACCCCACCCUUCUUCCUGUUCCAGUACCACCAGGUGGUGGACAUAUCACCUAAGCUCGGACAGCUGAAUCUUCCAUCCUGGGACCUGAACCCCUGGCGCUCACUGGAUACCCAGAUAAAGUGCUCACUGGAUACCUCACUAGCUCCUGGGACAGUGCCAUGGCCAGUCUCCCAUCACACACCUUCCGGUGGCUCCUCCACUCCCAGGAGUGAGCCUGGAUGCCAUCCCUUCCCUAGCCUGGUUCCCCAGCCAUCCCAUCAAUUCUGGGCACACCUGGCCCCCUUCCAAUAAAUUCCCUUUUUGC
rnacentral:lncRNA from 10 species